rnacentral:rRNA from 1 species
AGCGUAGGCGGACUGUUAAGUCGGAGGUGAAAGCCCAGGGCUCAACCUUGGAAUUGCCUUUGAUACUGGCAGUCUCGAGUAUGGGAGAGGUGAGUGGAACUCCGAGUGUAGAGGUGAAAUUCGUAGAUAUUCGGAAGAACACCAGUGGCGAAGGCGACUCACUGGCCCAUUACUGACGCUGAGGCUCGAAAGCGUGGGAGCAAACA